UGAGGUCUUGAACUUAACAAUCCUCCUGCCUCUUCAGUCAUCCAGAAUGGCAAGGAGAACAGCACCAUUCCUGAUCAGAGAACUCCGGUUGCUUCAACCCACAGUAUUAGCAGUGCCACCACCCCGGACCGGAAUCCGCUUCCCAAGAGGCACUGCCAUUCGUAGCACUUUCCAUGGCCAGCCCCGGGAACGGCGAACUGCAACAU
rnacentral:lncRNA from 1 species